rnacentral:rRNA from 1 species
AACCACCUGAGUUGGGU